rnacentral:lncRNA from 1 species
GAAAUGUUGCCAUGUUUUUAUUGAACACGCCAUGUAAACAUUUACAGUGCAGGUGGAAAAAGUAUGUGAACCCUUGGAUUUAAUAACUGGUUGAACCUCCUUUGGCAGCAAUAACUUCAACCAAACGUUUCCUGUAGUUGCAGAUCAGACCUGCACAGCGGUCAGGAGUAAUUCUUGACCAUUUCUCUUUACAGAACUGUUUCAGUUCAGCAAUAUUCUUGGGAUGUCUGGUAUGAAUCGCUUUCUUGAGGUCAUGCCACAGCAUCUCAAUCGGGUUGAGGUCAGGACUUUGACUGGGCCACUUCAGAAGGCGUAUUUUCUUCUGUUUAAGCCAUUCUGUUGUUUAUUUACUUCUAUGCUUUGGGUCAUUGUCCUGUUGCAAUACCCAUCUUCUGUUGAGCUUCAGCUGGUAGACAGAUGGCCUUAAGUUCUCCUGCAAAAUGUCUUGAUAAACUUGGGAAUUCAUUUUUCCUUCGAUGAUGGCAAUCCGUCCAGGCCCUGACGCAGCAAAGCAGCCCCAAACCAUGAUGCCCCCACCACCAUACUUCACAGUUGGGAUGAGGUUUUGAUGUUGGUGUGCUGUGCCUUUUUUUCGCCACACAGUGUUGUGUGUUUUUUCCAAACAACUCAACUUUGGUUUCAUCUGUCCACAGACUAUUUUGCCAGUACUGCUGAGGAACAUCCAGGUGCUCUUGUGCACCUCAUUGAGCAGUCUGAGCUGUGCUCUUGCAGUCAUCUUUACAGGACGGCCACUCCAAGGGAGAGUAGAAGCAGUGCUGAACUUUCUCCAUUUAUAGACAAUUUGUCUUGCCGUGGACUGAUGAACAGCAAGGCUUUUGGAGAUACUUUGAUAACCCUUUCCAGCUUUAUGCAAGUCAACAAUUCUUAAUCGUAGGUCUUCUCAGAGCUCUUUUGUGUGAGGCAUCAUUCACAUCAGGCAAUGCUUCUUGUGAAAAGCAAACCCAGAACUGGUGUGUGUUUUUUAUAGGGCAGAGCAGCUGUAACAAACACCUCCAAUCUCAUCUCAUUGAUUGGACUCCAGUUGGCUGACAUCUCACUCCAAUUAGCUCUUGGAGAUGUCAUUAGUCUAGGGGUUCACAUACUUUUUCCACCUGCACUAUGAAUGUUUACAUGGUGUGUUCAAUAAAAACAUGGCAACAUUUCAUUCUUUGUGUGUUAUUAGUUUAAGCAGACUGUGAUUGUCUAUUGUUAUGACUUAGAUGAGGAUCAGAUCACAUUUUAUGACCAAUUUGUGCAGAAAUCCAUAUCAUUCCAAAGGGUUCACAUACUUUUUCGUGUGUGUAUGUAUAUAUAUUGUGUGUGUGUGUGUGUGUGGAGAGAGAGAGAGAGACAGAAAAAACCAACACUAUAUCCUUGCACACAUAGGCUCUAUUGUAUUAUCCUGGUGCUUGCAAUCCGGGGGAAAUCUUAUACACCAAUUGUAGGGAUGACCAGCACUCACGGUUUAGUGAAAGUUAAAAGUUGUAGGCUUUAAUGAAGACUCAUAGUUAAAAGUAAAUCGGCGUUUCAGUCCACGUCUGGGUGAU